rnacentral:rRNA from 1 species
GACGAACGCUGGCGGCGUGCCUAAUACAUGCAAGUAGAACGCUGAAGGAGGAGCUUGCUCUUCUGGAUGAGUUGCGAACGGGUGAGUAACGCGUAGGUAACCUGCCUGGUAGCGGGGGAUAACUAUUGGAAACGAUAGCUAAUACCGCAUAAGAGUAGAUGUUGCAUGACAUUUACUUAAAAGGUGCAAUUGCAUCACUACCAGAUGGACCUGCGUUGUAUUAGCUAGUUGGUGGGGUAACGGCUUACCAAGGCGACGAUACAUAGCCGACCUGAGAGGGUGAUCGGCCACACUGGGACUGAGACACGGCCCAGACUCCUACGGGAGGCAGCAGUAGGGAAUCUUCGGCAAUGGACGGAAGUCUGGCCGAGCAACGCCGCGUGAGUGAAGAAGGUUUUCGGAUCGUAAAGCUCUGUUGUAAGAGAAGAACGAGUGUGAGAGUGGAAAGUUCACACUGUGACGGUAUCUUACCAGAAAGGGACGGCUAACUACGUG